UGGGAUAUAGCUCAGUGGCAAAGCGCUUGCCUAGCAAGCGCAUCGUCCUGGGUUCGAUCCCCAGUACCAA
rnacentral:tRNA from 1 species